UGCAACGAUGAAGAACGCAGCGAAAUGCGAUACGUAGUGUGAAUUGCAGAAUUCCGCGAAUCAUCGAGUCUUUGAACGCAAGUUGCGCCCGAGGCUCGACCGAGGGCAUCUCUGCCAGAGCGUCACCG
rnacentral:rRNA from 1 species